rnacentral:lncRNA from 1 species
CUUUGAUGAAAGUUUUAACCACCUUAUUGCCUAUUAUCUUGAAAACUAUAAUAAAAUUAUAAAAAAAUAAUAAGCAAAAUACGAUCAAUAUACAUGUAAAUGUCAACCUGACUGAAACUGCUAGUUAGCUCUUAAUGGAGUUUCCUCUCUAUAUUGAUGAUUUAUCAACCUAUGAGAUUGAAGAUCCCUUUAACAUUUUUCGCCCAUCUUUUAAGAUUAUGGCGGUAAACUCAUCUCGUACUUGAGUGUUUUGUCGCUCAUUAGAAUGAUACUUCCAGUAAUAAGUCUCGAUAUAAGUCUUAAACAAAAACGAAUUACAGAAUGCAACAUGUUUGCUGUGAAACAGAUUUGACGAAUCAAACAGUAAUUAACCAUGGUAAUAACAAUAUUUGGAAGGAAGUUGAGCUCGGCUACAAAACUCAUGCUGCGAAUGACAUUAUUAUAAGUUUUGAGCAAAAG